GACGAACGCUGGCGGCGUGCUUAACACAUGCAAGUCGAACGGAAAGGCCCUGCUUUUGUGGGGUGCUCGAGUGGCGAACGGGUGAGUAACACGUGUGUAACCUGCCCUUGACUUUGGGAUAACUUCAGGAAACUGGGGCUAAUACCGGAUAGGAGCUCCUGCUGCAUGGUGGGGGUUGGAAAGUUUCGGCGGUUGGGGAUGGACUCGCGGCUUAUCAGCUUGUUGGUGGGGUAGUGGCUUACCAAGGCUUUGACGGGUAGCCGGCCUGAGAGGGUGACCGGCCACAUUGGGACUGAGAUACGGCCCAGACUCCUACGUGAGGCAGCAGUGGGGAAUAGUGCACAAUGGGCGGAAGCCUGAUGCAGCAACGCCGCGUGCGGGAUGACGGCCUUCGGGUUGUAAACCGCUUUCGCCUGUGACGAAGAGUGAGUGACGGUAAUGGAUAAAGAAGCACCGGCUAACUACGUG
rnacentral:rRNA from 1 species